rnacentral:tRNA from 1 species
AUGGGGGCCUUCCCGUCGUACGUCCGUGAAGAGUUCUGCCGUGACCGUGUGACCGUCGUCGCUGUCGUGGACCACGACCCGGUGCGCAAGCGUGCUGAUCAUGCUCAGCCCCCGUCCUGUGCUCUGUACGGAACGGCCGUCUCCAUGACUUGCCACACCGCCGUGACCGUCCUCCUGAUCCUUGGCGUCCCGGACGUCGCAAUCGACUCGAUCAUGGGUUGGGAGCCUGGGGGAGCGGCUCGGAUGCGCGCCCGGUACAUGCACGUGACGGGGACCAUGCUCCGGAAAGUCGCGCAACAAGUCGGCGACGCGCUCUGA